UACAGAGGUCUCAAGCGUUGUUCAGAUUCAUUGGGCGUAAAGGGCGCGUAGGCGGCGGGGUAAGUCUGGUGUGAAAUCUCGGAGCUCAACUCCGAAAUUGCACUGGAUACUGCUCUGCUAGAGGGCUGGAGAGGAGAUCGGAAUUCACGGUGUAGCAGUGAAAUGCGUAGAUAUCGUGAGGAAGACCAGUGGCGAAGGCGGAUCUCUGGACAGCUUCUGACGCUCAGGCGCGAUAGCGUGGGGAUCAAACGGG
rnacentral:rRNA from 1 species